rfam:Picea glauca, whole genome shotgun sequence.
AGGGUGUUAGCUCAAUGGAAGAGCACCUACCUUACAAGCAGGAGGUUGGUGGUUCGAUUCCUUCAUGCCCUA